AAACGUGUUCCGGGGUCGGUGAAAGUCCGAACCGGCGGUGAUAGUCCGCGACCCCCGCGGCCCGCAUGGGCCAACGGGUUGACUCGGUGAAAUUCCGAGACCGACAGUCAAAGUCUGGAUGGGAGGCAACACGCUU
rnacentral:ncRNA from 1 species